UCACUCUGGUUUCCCUUCAAUACGUAUAAAUCUUUCGCCUUUUACUAAAGAUUUCCGUGGAGGGGAACACUCAAAUGAGUCUAACUCUAUUUUUGAAAAGCCCUGCUCACGCGGGGUU